GCAUUCCCUAAAUCUUGAUGUCUUAAGAUUUUUAAAUCUGAUUUCGAAAUACACUGCCUCGAUUUCCCAAAUUCGCCACUGUUUCUCGAUUCCGUCAAUUUCACUACAAUUUUUCGAUUCCCCAAAUUCACUACAGUUUCUCGAUUCCAUCAAUUUCCUUACAGUUUUCGAGUCCCCAAAUUCGCUACAGUUCUUUGAAUCCCCAAAUUUCAAGAAAGUAUUCUUUAACCCUGAAUCUUGCUACAAAAAUGA